rnacentral:rRNA from 1 species
UAGUGGCGAACGGGUGAGUAACACGUGGGCAAUCUGCCCUGCACUCUGGGACAAGCCCUGGAAACGGGGUCUAAUACCGGAUACGAGCCUCCUCCGCAUGGUGGAGGUUGGAAAGCUCCGGCGGUGCAGGAUGAGCCCGCGGCCUAUCAGCUUGUUGGUGAGGUAACGGCUCACCAAGGCGACGACGGGUAGCCGGCCUGAGAGGGCGACCGGCCACACUGGGACUGAGACACGGCCCAGACUCCUACGGGAGGCAGCAGUGGGGAAUAUUGCACAAUGGGCGAAAGCCUGAUGCAGCGACGCCGCGUGAGGGAUGAAGGCCUUNGGGUUGUAAACCUCUUUCAGCAGGGAAGAAGCGAAAGUGACGGUACCUGCAGAAGAAGCGCCGGCUAACUACGUGCCAGCAGCCGCGGUAAUACGUAGGGCGCAAGCGUUGUCCGGAAUUAUUGGGCGUAAAGAGCUCGUAGGCGGCUUGUCGCGUCGGUUGUGAAAGCCCGGGGCUUAACCCCCGGGUCUGCAGUCGAUACGGGCAGGCUAGAGUUCGGUAGGGGAGAUCGGAAUUCCU